CUCGCCCAUAAAAGCCCUGCCCACGGACUCACAUACAUAUAAAUAAAUAUAUAAAAAACUCAAGUUAAAUGAAAGAUGGAGAAAAUCAUUAUCUAUUAUCAUUGUAAGAACUAAAAAAAAAAAAAGAAAAAAGAAGAAGUAUGAGAUAAAAUAUGAGUUUAUUAAUUUGGCGGUUGUAUAACUAUAUCUUUAUAUUUAUGAAAAAAAAAAAAAAGAACUAUGAAGUUAUGAACAAAGAAAAAAAUAGAGACAUAAACAUAUAGACAAAUGUAAGUAGAGAACUAUGAAAAAAAUGGAAACAUAGAAACACACAAAAACACAGGAAAAAAAAAGAAUUGACAAAAAAAAUCUAUAUAAAAAAAAAAACAAAAUAAAGGAGGCCCAUUUAGGCUCAGCCAGUUGGACUUACCCCAUCCUAGCCCGAUGAGCUUUUUCAAGCCCGGCUCAUGGGAUGAGCUUGGGCUUUGAAUUUUCUAAAAAAACUCGACACGGCCCGAUCCAUUAUUUUCUCUCUCCUCUUCGAAGCUCAUCUUGACCCGGCUCAAGCCUAUUAAAUUUGGGCCGGGCUAACCUGGGAGGCCUUCUCCUCUGUACUGUCUCCUCUCUCUUUCUUUCUUCUAUCUGUUCUCUUUUUCUUCUCUCUUGGUACACAGCCCACAGUGAGAAUCGAUCGAUUCCCUGUAACCCACACUGAUGUCGACGAUUCUCAGGCCUCACGCUCAGACUGAUGUUGACCAUGCUAGGUUUUCUGGUUAUUUGUUUUCUUUGUAAAAAGAUCUGUCUUUGUCUCAGCAAUAGAAAGAUGAAUGGGAGUCUGGAUUAAGCGCAGAAAGUUCGGGCAUAGCUUAUGUCCAAUUUGGACCAAGCCUGCUAACAAGGAAGAUUGAGGAGUUUGAUGGAUCUUGAUUAAGCCUGCAGUUUAUUGACAAACAGGACAACACCAAACCGAAACUCGAUUUCUAUGUAUUAAUUCAUUGCUUUAAUCAAUUUUAUUUUUUCUGGAUGGGUGUACAGACAGAGCUUGGAGGACAUACUGCCUUUGGAUUCAGAAGGGAACCCAUUAAACAUGUGGCAGGAGUGAAUUGCGUCACGUCCUGGAACUGAUUUGAGUUUGAACUACUAUCAUUUUACCUUUGUUUCACGUGUCUUUUGAGGUUGGAGAAAGAUUCAGGGUAUUUCUUCAAUAUGAGGUAUUUUGAGGAUUGCGUGCUGAAUGGUGAAUGAUGUGGGAGCACUACCUGGCUGGAUUUACUAAGGUUGAUGAAAACAGCGACUCUACGAAGAUUUUCUUUGCGAUUAGCCUUGAAGCCCUGACAGACAUAACCACGCUAAACCAGUCCAGAUUCUUCAAAGGGAUUUGAAAAUGCUCUUGACAUUCGGUGAUGAGUUUUUUGAUGAAGUAUCAUCACUGUUUCUGCCGAUGGUCAUUUACAGGUGUGUUGAGCAUAUUUAUUUUCUGAUUAGUUUGGCUUUUCAUGACCCUGCAUCACACAUGCUAUUGUAAAGCAAGCCAUGAUCAUGCAAGUGUUCGGGUUAAUUCAAUUGUGGCGUCUUAAUUGUUGAUCUUGUACAAUUAGUCAUCCUUGAUUUACUUUGUAUUGUGGCAUCCGAGUGGUAAGUUUUUUUUUUUGUUUUUUGUUUUUGUUUUUUUUUCCUGAACAUGAAGACAUGGGCUGGCAAGGAAUGCGGGACCUUACAUUUCUUACUUUGACAGGGUUUGCACAUGUAUAUUAUUAGUUUUUUUUUUGGACGUAUAAAAAUGACUCUUGGAACCAGUUUCUUCUUAAUUUGUAUAAAAAUGAGGGCCGUUCUGCACUGUUUACCCUUGCUGCUUUCAAAGUCAGGUCCUAGGAGGGAAAAAUGUCUUUUUUAGUAUUAACACAAACUCGAGAUCAAUUCCCAUAAUUUUAUGACAUGUAAUUAGUUAGGAGGCA